rnacentral:rRNA from 1 species
CCAUGGCAUGUGUCAGUACAAACUAAAUGAGAGUGAAACCGCGAAUGGCUCAUUAAAUCAGCUAUGAUUCAUUGGAUCUGUACACCCAGUUUUCCUUGGAUAACUGUGGUAAUUCUAGAGCUAAUACAUGCACAUAUAGUCCCUGCCCUCCUCUCUUGUCUGACGAUGAGAGAGAGAGGGAAGGGCGCUUUUAUUAGUAUCAAAACCGGUCGGGCUUCGGUCUGUUAACCUAUUUGAUGACUCUGGAUAACUUUUAGCUGAGCGCACGGUCUUUUGCACCGGCGCCGCUUCUUUCAAGUGUCUGCCUUAUCAGCUUUCGAUUGUAUGUUAUGUGCCUACAAUGGCUAUAACGGGUAACGGGGAAUCAGGGUUCGAUUCCGGAGAGGGAGCCUGAGAAACGGCUACCACAUCUAAGGAAGGCAGCAGGCACGCAAAUUACCCACUCCCGGCACGGGGAGGUAGUGACGAAAAAUAACGAUGCGAGACUCAUCCGAGGCUUCGCAAUCGGAAUGAGUACACUUUAAAUCCUUUAACGAGGAUCAAUUGGAGGGCAAGUCUGGUGCCAGCAGCCGCGGUAAUUCCAGCUCCAAUGGCGUAUAUUAAAGUUGUUGCGGUUAAAAAGCUCGUAGUUGGAUUUCAGUAUUGGACUGAUGAGUUUUUUCACCUUCGGGUGAUUAAACGGAAUCAAGCUUCAAAACCUGCUACCACAAUAAUUACAUUGUGUGUUGCUCAACUAGCUCACACGGGGUGCUCUUAACCGAGUGUCCCGAGUGGCUGGUAUGUUUACUUUGAAAAAAUUAGAGUGCUCAGAGCAGGCUACAAAUGGCCUGAAUGUCUAUGCAUGGAAUAAUAUAAGAGGACCUCGGUUUUAUGUUUUACCGCGUUUCUUUUGGAAACCCGAGGUAAUGAUUAAUAGGACCAAGUGAGGGCAUUAGUACUGCGACGCUAGAGCUUCAUUAAUCAAGAACGAAAGUUAGAGGUUCGAAGGCGAUCAGAUACCGCCCUAGUUCUAACCAUAAACGAUGCUAACCAGCGAUCCGCCGUAGUUAUUCCCAUGACUCGGCGGGCAGCUUCCGGGAAACCAAAGUCUUUGAGUUCCGGGGGAAGUAUGGUUGCAAAUCUGAAACUUAAAGGAAUUGACGGAAGGGCACCACCAGGAGUGGAGCCUGCGGCUUAAUUUGACUCAACACGGGAAACCUCACCAGGCCCAGACACUGGAAGGAUUGACAGAUUGAGAGCUCUUUCUCGAUUCAGUGGGUGGUGGUGCAUGGCCGUUCUUAGUUGGUGGAGCGAUUUGUCUGGUUAAUUCCGAUAACGAACGAGACUCUGGCCUAUUAACUAGUCGACGGAUUUCCAAACCAUGCAAUUGGUGUCCAGUUCGCAAUAUUAUCUUCUUAGAGGGAUAAGCGGUAGUCCUAGCCGCACGAGAAUGAGCAAUAACAGGUCUGUGAUGCCCUUAGAUGUUCUGGGCCGCACGCGCGCUACACUGAAGGGAUCAGAAUGUUUUCCCCCUCCGAAAGGAGCGGGUAACCCGAUGAAACCCCUUCGUGAUAGGGAUUGGGGCUUGUAAUUAUUUCCCAUGAACGAGGAAUUCCCAGUAAGCGCAGAUCAAGAGUUUGCGUUGAUUACGUCCCUGCCCUUUGUACACACCGCCCGUCGCUACUACCGAUUGAAUGAUUUAGUGAGGCCUUCGGACUGUCGCUCUUGGAUAUCUUGGCUUAAUGCUAGUUCCUAGAGCUGACGGAAAGAUGUCCAAACUUGAUCAUUUAGAGGAAGUAAAAGUCGUAACAAGGUUUCC